GUGAGUGUAGCUCAGAUGGUAGAGCACAGGAUUGUGGCUCCUGUGGCCGAGGGUUCGAUCCCCUUCACUCACCCCA
rnacentral:tRNA from 2 species